CUCUGUUCUGCUGGCCAUGAGAAAAUGUACCUGUUUCCCCUUUGCCUUCCGCCAUGAUUUUAAGUUUCCUAAGGCCUCCUCAGCCCUGCUUCUGGUACAACCUGCAGAAUGGCUCAUAUUUGGAAGGGACUUAACCUUGUCUCAGAAGAAAAUUUGGACAUGGACUUUUGAGUUAAUGCUGGAAUGAAUUAAGACUUUGGGGAACUGUUGGGAAGGCAUAAUUGUGUUUUGAAAUGUAAGAAGGACAUGAGAUUUGGGAGGGGCUGGGGCAGAAUAAAAUGGUUUGGCUGUGUGUUCCCACCCAAAUCUCAUGUCUAACUGUAAUUCCUAGAGUUGGGGGAGGGGCCUGGUGGGAGGUGACUGAAUCCUGGGGGUUGACUUUCCCCUUGCUGUUCUCCUGAUAGAGUUCUCGCAAGGUCUGGUUGUUAGAAAGUGUGUAGCGCCUCCCCCUUUGCUCUCUCUCUUUCCUGCCAGCCAUGUGAAGAUGUGUCUGCUUCUUCACCUUCCACCAUGAUUGUAAGUUUUCUAAAGCCUCCCCAGCCAUGUUUCCUGUACAGCCUGCAGAACUGUGAAUCAAUUAAACCUCUUUUCUUCAUAAAUUAUCCAGCCUCAGGUAUAUCUUUAUAGCAGUGUGAAAACAAACUAAUGCAGACCCUGUUCCCAAAUACAGUCACAUUCUGAGGCACUGGGGGCUGGGAAUUCAACAUAUGAAUCUGGAGAGACAUGGUUCAGAACAUAACAACUUCCAGUUAUAUAACUUCAAUGCUACGUGAUGACUGGCUCAUAUAUUUGAAAAACUUUCACAUGAAAAAGGGACAAGACAAGGACCAAUGUGUGGAAGGUAAAAGCUGAAAUUUUCAGCUGAACAAAAGGAAGGCCUAUGUGAUAAUGAGGGGGGUCUAGUUAUUACAGGCUGCAUUCCCUGAUAGUGUGUCCCUGCCACAGGAAGGGCACAGCAGAGGCUGAGUGGACCACUAUCGUGCCUGUCUUUGGGGAAAUCCAGCAUAAGCCUCCAAAAUCCCUUUUCCUCUUUUAAUUUGAUGACAUUAAUGAAGGAAUAUGAGCUCACAGGGAUUAAAUCAAGAUGAUUAAAACAAAGAAGUAGAAAAUAUGGUCACACGUCUACAGUGUGUCUACAAACACGGCAUAAUCAGAUAUGAGAAAAAGGAGUUUUGUGAAAUGUUAGAGUCACACCCUCCCUGACGUGAGCAAUACAGUGGCCAGCAAGGCAGGAGAGGAUGUGCUCUGUAUCAAGAAUGUGAGGCCUACGGUAAAGCUGACCGGUACAGGUGGAGCAAGACCAACUAAGAAGCAUCUUUCCCUGGAGAAAACUGUCACUCAUCAAGAGGAUGUCCAUGGCAAUCUAAGUGGAGAUUUUCCCAAAGGGACUACAAAUGUCAGAACCCAGGUGAUCUGACAUCAAUGAAUCUUCCUGAAAGCCCCUUGGGAUGUCAUCUGAUGACAUGAGUUAGCAUUGGUGGACUAGGGUUGGGAGAUCUGACUUGAGAGCCAAUUUCUCUGUGUACACUAGUCAGCUGACCUAAGGUGUGUCAUUGCCUUCUCUGAGUCUCAAGCUCCUCAUCUGUAAAAUAGAAAGAAUAUGGCCUUACCCUGACAGCAUAUUGUAAAAAUUGAUGAGAUAUGAUUUAACUAUAAAUGUGCUAUGAAUUUAACCAUGCAAUUUAAUUUAUGUAACUGUG
rnacentral:lncRNA from 1 species